UACGGAGGGUGCGAGCGUUGUCCGGAUUUAUUGGGCGUAAAGAGCGUGUAGGCGGCCAAGCAGGUCCGCUGUGAAAACUCGAGGCUCAACCUCGAGAGGUCGGUGGAAACCGUUUGGCUAGAGUCCGGAAGAGGAGAGUGGAAUUCCCGGUGUAGCGGUGAAAUGCGCAGAUAUCGGGAAGAACACCCGUGGCGAAGGCGGCUCUCUGGGACGGUACUGACGCUGAGACGCGAAAGCGUGGGGAGCGAACAGG
rnacentral:rRNA from 1 species